rnacentral:sRNA from 1 species
CUCAGGAUCACCACCAGUCAGCGAGUUUCGCCCACUGGUGUAUUUU